rnacentral:lncRNA from 1 species
UUCACUAUUCUCCAUGACUAACUUGAGCAUCAGAAGAUCUUUAUAAUAACUCUGAUAAGGGACUUAAUUUGCAAGUUCUCUCUCAUCCGAUGUGGGAUGAAGCUCUAGCCAUCACAGAUCUAUCUAUCACAAUUCCAAGUUGGCCUCUAAUAGUAACAAAUUGAUGCCAGAGGAAGGAUCACAGGCCUGCUCGAAAAAGAAGAAGAGUUUGCAGUCAUGAGAUCUUCUAGAGGAGGAUCAAAUGUCUCAUGAUGGUCCAAUGUAACAAUAUCUCAUCCAACCGAGGUGUAGCCCCAACCAGCCUAGGUACUACCCCA